CACUGUGUCUUCAUGGGUUUCUUAGAGGAGUUCUUGGCCCAGCUACAGCUCAGGCCUUUACCUCCUUCGGAGCCUGUACAAAACUACUGCUGGUUUGGUUAAGGGGGUAGAAAGACCAUCAAUUAC